UACGUAGGUGGCAAGCGUUGUCCGGAAUUAUUGGGCGUAAAGCGCGCGCAGGCGGUCCUUUAAGUCUGAUGUGAAAGCCCACGGCUCAACCGUGGAGGGUCAUUGGAAACUGGGGGACUUGAGUGCAGAAGAGGAAAGCGGAAUUCCACGUGUAGCGGUGAAAUGCGUAGAGAUGUGGAGGAACACCAGUGGCGAAGGCGGCUUUCUGGUCUGUAACUGCGCUGAGGCGCGAAAGCGUG
rnacentral:rRNA from 1 species